GGAAUCUGGGGUUCAGGGCCUGUCUACCGCCUCCCACCUUCUUUGCUGCUCUCCCUUGCAAGUGUCCUCUCUGCUCGUGUGUAUGUGUGUGUGUGUGUGUGUGUGUGUGUCUGUCUGUCUGUCUGUCUGUCUGACGGCCUCCUCUGUAGCCUCAUCUCCCUUCACCCUGCACCAUUUUUCUUUCUCUUCUCUUUCCUUUCCAGGCACGUGGGUUUUCUUGAUUCUAAAAGCAAGGCAUCCAUCUUCAUGAACGCUUAGAAAAUACAGAGAAGCACACAGAAAACAAUAGAUGUCCCCAAGAGUCGCUUUUCCCCAAAGGAGGGGCCCCUUAGGUCGUGCUGGGUGGACCCUCCGUGGUGUGCACCCUGGGCCUCCACCUGUGCUUGCCCCUGCUCCUGCCUGGGCUCCUCGCUGCCCUCUCUGCUUCUCUUGGGGAGUCUCUGUCCCCGUCUCUGUCCCCUCUCUCUGGUCUCCUUGGCGCCUCUCUGGGCUCUUGGGCCCUGCUCUCACCUGAGGCUCCGCCCGCCUCCAUGGGUCUCACUCUGAAGCCCCGCCCGCCUCCAUGGGUCUCACUCUGAAGCCCCGCCCGCCUCCAUGGGUCCCUCUCACUCUGAAGCCCGGCUUCUCGGUCGCUGUCGGCCUCUUUGCCUGCCCUUCCCGCCUCCCUGUCCCUGCAGCCUUUGAAUUGCCACCUUGCCUUUGCCUCGCCCCGUGUGCACACGCGUGUCCCCCACAUGCUUCCUGCUGCCGCGUGUCCCCCCUGUGUCGCCUCUCUGCUCUCCAAGGGGCACUCCCAUUCAUAAGUUCUGCUCAUUCAAAAAACAGAGCGUCAUUUCCCCCAAGUUGCUGGCUCUGGCUCGGGAAGCUCUAUUACCUCUGUAAUAAGAAAAGUGCCGCCGCCGCCGCCGCCACCGGGUGGGGAGCCCAGCGGUGUCCUUGCUGACGCCAGGCCCUGUGGCCCUGCGGGGGGGGGGGGGGGAGCGUCGGUGGGUCUCUAGCCCUCGGUCCGCUUAUCCUCUCUCCUCUUCUCUCUCCUUUUCUCCCUUGGAGAUUUCUGGAAUCCCCUGUCCCUGCUCAUGCUGGAGCCUAAAGAAAGGAGCUGCGUGGCGGAGUGAGUGUGUCGGGCGCUCCUCUGCAGCCGGCUGGGCUUUGUUCCCUGCGUGGACAAUUUCGUUCUCUUAGAAAUGACACUUAUUGUUUUCCUGCAGCUUCCCAUGGAGGACACGUUGGCUGCAGAGCAGGCCGAGAAGGCCCAGAUGCACGUGCAGAGGAAUGUAAGAUAAAAUCCCUGCAAUCCCACCUCCCAGACGCAGAGAAAGGGGCCGCGGGGACGGGGACAUUGGGGACUGGGCACCAUCUCUUUUUGUAUCUGUGCAUCUCUCCUUUCUCCAUGGGCGCCUUUGUGGGUUCCGUUUCGCUCUCUUCUCGCUUAUUCAUCCCUCAACAGCACUUGGGGACCCUGCUUGGGCUGCCCGGUGCAUCUUGUCAGCCUGUCUGACGGGCUUUGUCCGAAAGCUCCGUCCAUCCGACAUCCCUCUCCCCGGGCUGUGUGAACUGGGGGGCUGAACA
rnacentral:lncRNA from 1 species